GUGCCAGCCGCCGCGGUAAUACGAGGGGGGCAAGCGUUGUUCGGAAUUAUUGGGCGUAAAGGGUGCGUAGGCGGUUUUGUAAGUCUUGUGUGAAAUCUUCAGGCUCAACUUGAAGACUGCACGAGAAACUGCAGGGCUUGAGUGUGGGAGAGGUGAGUGGAAUUCCUGGUGUAGCGGUGAAAUGCGUAGAUAUCAGGAGGAACACCUGUGGCGAAAGCGGCUCACUGGACCACAACUGACGCUGAUGCACGAAAGCUAGGGGAGCAAACAGGAUUAGAAACCCUCGUAGUCC
rnacentral:rRNA from 1 species